UUCACACUUAACUGAACUUGCCUGGCUUUUUUCCCAUCUAUUUGAGUGAUGUUGGUGGGCAUGGGCUGGGAGCAUGGUUGUUUCUACUCUUGUUUUUUUUUUUUUUUUUUUUUUCUUUUGCUUGGGGCUGCUAUCGGCUCAUCAGCUCAUUUUGGAUCUGCCUCUCUUCGCCUGGUUUCCCCCGCUGCCCCUCCCUCUCAAUUGAACCUACCAAGAGCUGAGCAGUUAUCAUGAGGUGGGAGGGCAUCUCUUUGUCUCUUCAAUUUACAUAGUGUUGGCACGUCUGCGAUUUCAGCUUGCUGUUUCUGGGGGUGGAUUGGAUGAAAUAUGAGUUUGUUUCACGGGUCUUCCUCGCUUGAUUGCUGCGCUGGAAUGGCUGCCCAUGAAAGAUGCUCCCAACUUGGCAAUUUAUGCAAGAUUUUUGCAGGAUGUUCAAGGUAUUUUUGGUUGGGAUGGGUGUUGGACGAACGUGCUUGCCUUUUCAACUGGAUUUGGUUUCGAUGCCCCAUUCCAUCUUCUUUGAUAUGGGAGAGUUUAGGAUUUUGGCUCUUUUGCUGGCGCGGCCACCUGAUAUUCCAUGGCUUAGGUUGCGUGAUGUUUUGCUAGGAAUGCUGUGUGUCUUUGAUUGCCUUCGACAAGGCUCGAUCGAAUAGCCUUUGUCAAGGUUAUGUGAUUCUUCGGCUGGUUUUUCACAGCUGUUUGUUAGUUGCCUUUUUUACCUGGGCAUCUUCGCUUGCAUUUCCCCCUGCUGUUCUGCUCACUUCGCACAGGAACUGCUGAAGCUGCGUCCAUAGAUUGGCUACUCAGUCCUCAGUCAUUUGGCUUAUCAGCUGCAACAAGAUUCACAAGAAUUUGCAUUGGUGCAUGAGAGGUUGAUAUUCAGCAUCACCAUAACCUCCUCUGAAGAAUAAUCUGACCGCAAUUCUGGAUCGACCAACUCUGAAAGACCUCCUCUCUCUUGCAAAACAUGGGCAUGGCAGAAUCCCAGAUAAAUCCAAAUAAGGAUGCUAUAAUGUACUCAAUACUGUAAAAUGAGUAUAGGAAGUUCAGCAGAAAUAUGGAACGACAAAUGCAGAUAUAAGUUCGGCAGGAACCAAAAAAGAUUAGGAAACGAGAUGGCUGUCUUCUGCAGAAUAUGAGGAUGAAUAGUUUGAAUAUUUGAGGAAACAUUACACGCAAUGAUGCAAAAUUGACAAGAAACACGAGGUUGGCCAGUUCACGUACAGAUACAAUGUGACGUUUUGCAAUGAGUAUUAAAUCAAGAAUAGCAUCAAAUGUUUUCCAAUGAGCAUCAAACAAGGAAUGAAAGAGAAUGCUAGACAGUAUAAGCUUACUCAGUCAAGAAGGUCAGCACCUAGCAUGUCUCCUUCCUUGUAAGAGAGGGCUCUGGCAGUACUUCCCAUCUGGGCAUACCGUAGCUUGUUGAUCGUAUUGGCUUUUGCACUUGCAGGAUCGAGAGGAAAAAAAAACAAAAAUACUUAGACGACCCAUGUCAGUUGUUGUAUGAGAUCUGGUUCAUAUAAAAAUAAAAUAUGAUGAAAUCUUUAAAUCUUAAUUCAACAUUUUG